rnacentral:rRNA from 1 species
UACGUAGGGUGCAAGCGUUGUCCGGAAUUAUUGGGCGUAAAGAGCUCGUAGGCGGUCUGUUGCGUCGGCUGUGAAAACCCGGGGCUCAACUGUGGGCUUGCAGCCGAUACGGGCGGGCUGGAGUUCGGUAGGGGAGACUGGAAUUCCUGGUGUAGCGGUGAAAUGCGCAGAUAUCAGGAGGAACACCGAUGGCGAAGGCAGGUCUCUGGGCAUUAACUGACGCUGAGGAGCGAAAGCAUGGGGAGCAAACAGG